rnacentral:rRNA from 1 species
GAUGAACGCUGGCGGCGUGCUUAACACAUGCAAGUCGAACGGAAAGGCCCUGCUUUUGUGGGGUGCUCGAGUGGCGAACGGGUGAGUAACACGCGAGUAACCUGCCCUUGACUUUGGGAUAACUUCAGGAAACUGGGGCUAAUACCGGAUAGGAGCUCCUGCUGCACGGUGGUGGUUGGAAAGUUUCGGCCGUUGGGGAUGGUCUCGCGGCUUAUCCGCUUCUUGGUGGGGUAGUGGCUUACGAAGGCUUUGACGGCUAGGCGGCCUGAGAGGGGUACCAGCGACAUGGGGACUAAGGUACGGCCCAGAAUCCUACGGGAGGCAGCAGUGGGGAAUAUGGCACAAUGGGCGGAAGUCUGAGGCAGCAAUGCCGCGAGCGGGAUGCCGGCCUUCGAGUUGUAAACCGCUUUCGCCUGUGACGAAGCGUGAGUGACGGUAAUGAGUAAAGAAGCACCGGCUAACUACGUG